GACGAACGCUGGCGGCGUGCUUAACACAUGCAAGUCGAACGGAAAGGCCCUGCUUUUGUGGGGUGCUCGAGUGGCGAACGGGUGAGUAACACGUGAGUAACCUGCCCUUGACUUUGGGAUAACUUCAGGAAACUGGGGCUAAUACCGGAUAGGAGCUCCUGCUGCAUGGUGGGGGUUGGAAAGUUUCGGCGGUUGGGGAUGGACUCGCGGCUUAUCAGCUUGUUGGUGGGGUAGUGGCUUACCAAGGCUUUGACGGGUAGCCGGCCUGAGAGGGUGACCGGCCACAUUGGGACUGAGAUACGGCCCAGACUCCUACGGGAGGCAGCAGUGGGGAAUAUUGCACAAUGGGCGGAAGCCUAAUGCAGCAACGCCGCGUGCGGGAUGACGGCCUUCGGGUUGUAACCCGCUUUCGCCUGUGACGAAGCGUGAGUGACGGUAAUGGGUAAAGAAGCACCGGCUAACUACGUG
rnacentral:rRNA from 1 species